rnacentral:rRNA from 1 species
UGAGGAAUAUUGGGCAAUGCCCGAAAGGGUGACCCAGCAACGCCGCGUGGAGGAUGAAGGUCGUAAGAUUGUAAACUCCUGUUAGAGGGGAAGAAUAGUACCGGUUGGACCGGUAUAUGACUGUACCCUCAGAGAAAGCCCCGGCUAACUACGUGCCAGCAGCCGCGGUAAUACGUAGGGGGCAAGCUUUGUCCGGAUUUACUGGGUGUAAAGGGCGCGCAGGCGGGAUAAAGAGUCAGUGGUGAAAUCCUACAGCUUAACUGUAGAACUGCCUUUGAUACUUUUAUUCUUGAGUUCGGGAGAGAGAGACGGAAUUCCAGGUGUAGUGGUGAAAUACGUAGAUAUCUGGAAGAACACCAGUUGCGAAGGCGGUCUCUUGGUCCGACACUGACGCUGAGGCGCGAAAGCGUGGGGAGCAAACA